rnacentral:lncRNA from 1 species
UUUCUUUUUUUAACCAUGGAACUUCCUGGAGAGAGAAAAAGCCUGAACCCAGCUGAUUUAGCAUUGUCUUUUUCAAGGUGAAUGGAAUAAACCAUUUUAGAUGCUUUCCUCUGUGGUGGACUCCUGCUAUGGUGGAAUUGUGUUUAAUUUAAAAUAUUUCUCAAUAACUUACAAAGAAAACAAAUUGAGAAGCUAAUGUCCAAGCCUGUUUUCUUCUGCUCUGUGGGUUUUCAGGCUUUUAUGGCAAUCCUCUGACUGAAAAUUACUGCUGCCCAAGACACACUGACUGCCAACAAGGUUGCAAACACAGAAG